rnacentral:rRNA from 1 species
UUAAGUUAAUAAGGGCGCACGGUGGAUGCCUUGGCACUAGGAGCCGACGAAGGACGUGACAAACGACGAUAUGCCUUGGGUAGCUGUAAGUAAGCGAUGAUCCAGGGAUUUCCGAAUGGGGGAACCCAACAGGUAAUACCUGUUACCUACAUCUGUUAAGGAUGUGAGGAGGAAGACGCAGUGAACUGAAACAUCUAAGUAGCUGCAGGAAGAGAAAGCAAAAGCGAUUGCCUUAGUAGCGGCGAGCGAAACGGCAGAAGGGCAAACCGAAGAGUUUACUCUUCGGGGUUGUAGGACUGCAAUGUGGACUCAAAGAUUAUAGAAGAAUGAUUUGGGAAGAUCAGCCAAAGAGAGUAAUAGCCUCGUAUUUAAAAUAGUCUUUGUACUUAGCAGUAUCCUGAGUACGGCGGGACACGUGAAAUCCCGUCGGAAUCUGGGAGGACCAUCUCCCAACCCUAAAUACUCCCUAGUGACCGAUAGUGAACCAGUACCGUGAGGGAAAGGUGAAAAGCACCCCGGGAGGGGAGUGAAAUAGAACCUGAAACCGUGUGCCUACAACAAGUUCGAGCCCGUUAAUGGGUGAGAGCGUGCCUUUUGUAGAAUGAACUGGCGAGUUACGUUAUGAUGCGAGGUUAAGUUGAAGAGACGGAGCCGUAGGGAAACCGAGUCUGAAUAGGGCGCCUUAGUAUCAUGACGUAGACCCGAAACCAUGUGACCUACCCAUGAGCAGGUUGAAGGUGCGGUAAGACGCACUGGAGGACCGAACCAGGGCACGUUGAAAAGUGCUUGGAUGACUUGUGGGUAGCGGAGAAAUUCCAAACGAACUUGGAGAUAGCUGGUUCUCUCCGAAAUAGCUUUAGGGCUAGCGUCGACAUUAGAGAUUCUUGGAGGUAGAGCACUGUUUGGGUGAGGGGUCCAUCCCGGAUUACCAAUCUCAGAUAAACUCCGAAUGCCAAUGAAUUAUGGUCGGCAGUCAGACUGCGAGUGCUAAGAUCCGUAGUCGAAAGGGAAACAGCCCAGACCACCAGCUAAGGUCCCAAAAUAAUUGUUAAGUGGAAAAGGAUGUGGGGUUGCACAGACAACUAGGAUGUUAGCUUAGAAGCAGCUAUUCAUUCAAAGAGUGCGUAAUAGCUCACUAGUCGAGUGACCCUGCGCCGAAAAUGUACCGGGGCUAAAACAAUUUACCGAAGCUGUGGAUACCUUUAUAGGUAUGGUAGGAGAGCGUUCUAUGUGUGAUGAAGGUAUACCGUGAGGAGUGCUGGAACGCAUAGAAGUGAGAAUGCCGGUAUGAGUAGCGAAAGACAGGUGAGAAUCCUGUCCACCGUAAGACUAAGGUUUCCAGGGGAAGGCUCGUCCGCCCUGGGUUAGUCGGGACCUAAGGAGAGACCGAAAGGUGUAUCCGAUGGACAACAGGUUGAUAUUCCUGUACUAGAGUAUGUAGUGAUGGAGGGACGCAGUAGGCUAACUAAAGCAGACGAUUGGAAGAGUCUGUCUAAGCAGUGAGGUGUGAAUUGAGUCAAAUGCUUAAUUCUAUAACAUUGAGCUGUGAUGGGGAGCGAAGUUUAGUAGCGAAGUUAGUGACGUCACACUGCCAAGAAAAGCUUCUAGCGUUUAAACAUACUCUACCCGUACCGCAAACCGACACAGGUAGUCGAGGCGAGUAGCCUCAGGUGAGCGAGAGAACUCUCGUUAAGGAACUCGGCAAAAUGACCCCGUAACUUCGGGAGAAGGGGUGCUGACUUUAAGUCAGCCGCAGUGAAUAGGCCCAAGCAACUGUUUAUCAAAAACACAGCUCUCUGCUAAAUCGUAAGAUGAUGUAUAGGGGGUGACGCCUGCCCGGUGCUGGAAGGUUAAGAGGAGUGCUUAGCGUAAGCGAAGGUAUGAAUUGAAGCCCCAGUAAACGGCGGCCGUAACUAUAACGGUCCUAAGGUAGCGAAAUUCCUUGUCGGGUAAGUUCCGACCCGCACGAAAGGCGUAAUGAUUUGGGCACUGUCUCAACGAGAGACUCGGUGAAAUUUUAGUACCUGUGAAGAUGCAGGUUACCCGCGACAGGACGGAAAGACCCCAUGGAGCUUUACUGCAGUUUGAUAUUGAGUGUCUGUACCACAUGUACAGGAUAGGUAGGAGUCUAAGAGAUCGGGACGCCAGUUUCGAAGGAGACGCUGUUGGGAUACUACCCUUGUGUUAUGGCCACUCUAACCCAGAUAGGUGAUCCCUAUCGGAGACAGUGUCUGACGGGCAGUUUGACUGGGGCGGUCGCCUCCUAAAAGGUAACGGAGGCGCCCAAAGGUUCCCUCAGAAUGGUUGGAAAUCAUUCGCAGAGUGUAAAGGUAUAAGGGAGCUUGACUGCGAGAGCUACAACUCGAGCAGGGACGAAAGUCGGGCUUAGUGAUCCGGUGGUUCCGUAUGGAAGGGCCAUCGCUCAACGGAUAAAAGCUACCCUGGGGAUAACAGGCUUAUCUCCCCCAAGAGUUCACAUCGACGGGGAGGUUUGGCACCUCGAUGUCGGCUCGUCGCAUCCUGGGGCUGUAGUCGGUCCCAAGGGUUGGGCUGUUCGCCCAUUAAAGCGGCACGCGAGCUGGGUUCAGAACGUCGUGAGACAGUUCGGUCCCUAUCCGUCGCGGGCGUAGGAAAUUUGAGAGGAUCUGCUCCUAGUACGAGAGGACCAGAGUGGACUUACCGCUGGUGUACCAGUUGUCUUGCCAAAGGCAUCGCUGGGUAGCUAUGUAGGGAAGGGAUAAACGCUGAAAGCAUCUAAGUGUGAAACCCACCUCAAGAUGAGAUUUCCCAUGAUUAUAUAUCAGUAAGAGCCCUGAGAGAUGAUCAGGUAGAUAGGUUAGAAGUGGAAGUGUGGCGACACAUGUAGCGGACUAAUACUAAUAGCUCGAGGACUUAUCCAA